ACAUAUUUGAUCAUUCAAUGGAAAAGUGAUUUCCAACUUUCCUUCAAUUUUGUACUCUAAUUGGGCUAAAAAAAUAAAGUAAAAAGCUUACCCAGUUUUAGUUUUAUAACCAAGAUAAUGCAACAACUGUAAUUGGUAAUUAAAAUUUGACGUGAGUUCUCAGGUUGAUGGUCAUAUAACCGCAACUAAAAUGAAAACUAGCACAUCCAUACAUGAGCUUGGCAAAAGAUGGGCGGAGGGCGGAGGGCGGCGGUCUAGAUUUGUGAUAUAGAUGGACGUCGAGUUGUUUGGAUGACGUGCUGGGCGACGUGUUGAUAUGCUAACGCUCCUUGUUCUUGGCCAGUUGUGCCAAGUCCCAUGCCAUUAAAAAAAUCACAACAAUUGGAGGUUUAUUGAUUCCCACCCACUGUAUUAUUCCCAUGUAUGGUAUUGGCAUAUCAAAUAACGCAUGAUAUACACGACAAUUUGAUUGUUAUUUGUAG